CGAUCUGUUGCGGACAGAUGAAAUGAAUAUGGCUGUCAAAGCCACCAGCGGUCAGUAUUUUACCUUCGCCUGCAAUAAUUUCGGUUCCGGGACCAAUAAUUAUAUCGACAUUGGGCUGAGUGUCGGGGUUUCCAGCCUUGCCAAUCGCCGCGAUACGGCCAGCGCGCAAGGCAAUAUCAGCCUUAUAGAUCCCUGUAUGAUCCAAGAUCAAAGCAUUGGUAAUAACCGUAUCGACGGCCCCUGCAGCGCGGGUGACCUGCGACUGGCCCAUGCCAUCACG
rnacentral:sRNA from 1 species